CUACGGGUCGCAGCAGUGAGGAAUAUUGCACAAUGGGGGGAACCCUGAUGCAGCAACGCCGCGUGGAGGAUGACGCAUUUCGGUGUGUAAACUCCUUUUAUAUGUCAAGAAAAUGACGGUAGCAUAUGAAUAAGCACCGGCUGAACUCCGUGCCAGCAGCCGCGGUAAUACGGAGGGUGCAAGCGUUACUCGGAAUCACUGGGCGGAAAGGACGCGUAGGCGGGUUGGAAAGUCAGGUGUGAAAUCCUACAGCUUAACUGUAGAACUGCACUUGAAACUUCUAAUCUAGAGUAUGGGAGGGGGAGAUGGAAUUAGUGGUGUAGGGGUAAAAUCCGUAGAUAUCACUAGGAGUACCUAAAGCGAAGGCGAUCUCCUGGAACAUUACUGACGCUAAGGCGUGAAAGCGUGGGGAGCAAACAGGAUUAGAUACCCGAGUAGUC
rnacentral:rRNA from 1 species